rnacentral:lncRNA from 1 species
CACCAUACGUCUACAGCUCCCCACCACCACCAUACUACUCUCCUUCUCCUAAGGUUUACUACAAGUCCCCACCUCCACCGUACGUCUACAGCUCCCCACCACCACCAUACUAUUCUCCUUCUCCUAAGGUUUACUACAAGUCCCCACCUCCACCAUACGUCUACAGCUCUCCACCUCCACCAUACUACUCUCCUUCUCCUAAGGUUUACUACAAGUCCCCACCUCCACCAUACGUCUACAGCUCCCCACCUCCACCAUACUACUCUCCUUCUCCUAAGGUUUACUACAAGUCCCCACCUCCACCAUACGUCUACAGCUCCCCACCUCCACCAUACUACUCUCCUUCUCCUAAGGUUUACUACAAGUCCCCACCUCCACCAUACGUCUACAGCUCCCCACCUCCACCAUACUACUCUCCUUCUCCAAAGGUUUACUACAAGUCUCCACCACCACCAUACGUCUACAACUCUCCACCACCACCAUACUACUCUCCUUCUCCUAAGGUUUACUACAAGUCCCCACCUCCACCAUACGUCUACAGCUCCCCACCUCCACCAUACUACUCUCCUUCUCCUAAGGUUUACUACAAGUCUCCACCUCCACCAUACGUCUACAGCUCCCCACCACCACCGUACUACUCGCCUUCUCCAAAGGUUUACUACAAGUCUCCAC